GACGAACGCUGGCGGCGUGCUUAACACAUGCAAGUCGAGCGGUAAGGCCUUUCGGGGUACACGAGCGGCGAACGGGUGAGUAACACGUGGUGGUUUUGCCCGGCCCUUCGGGUUAAGCCUGGGAACCGGGUCCUAAUACGGAUAAUGACUCCUAUCCCCUGGUGGGGGGUGGGAAGGUUUAAUCGGUGCAGGAUGGGCCCGCGGCCUAUCAGCUGGUUGGUGGGGUAUUGGCCUACCAAGGCGACGACGGGUAGCCGACCUGAGAGGGUGACCGGCCACACUGGGACUGAGACACGGCCCAGACUCCUACGGGAGGCAGCAGUGGGGAAUAUUGCACAAUGGGCGAAAGCCUGAUGCAGCGACGCCGCGUGAGGGAUGACGGCCUUCGGGUUGUAAACCUCUUUCAGCAGGGACGAAGCGCAAGUGACGGUACCUGCAGAAGAAGCACCGGCUAACUACGUG
rnacentral:rRNA from 1 species